GGCCAGGGCGCCCCAAGCGAGGCCGCGGUCCGCGGACGGUCGCCAAUGGAGCGGGGCUGCAAGGGGGUGCCGAUGCUGCGAGAGAAAACCCGGGAACCUUGGAACGAGCUUAUGGUGAUUGGGAAAAGAGUGGAGCUCCUGAGUAGAAACACUCAAAAGCCGAAGCUGGAGUCUGAGUACUGGAGACUGGAAGAUGUGGAAAAGACGGUCUUGAAAGGGAAGUCAGGCCCAAGUCAGGAAAGGACGGAUGUGAAGCUGCUGCACCGUGGAGCAAGUGCAUCACAAGCUUCAGUAGAUUUGGGGAAAAACAGCCCAAGGGAGAUUUGGGGAAAGCAAGAGGUCAAACACGAAAUAAGGGCUAAAUCUAAGAGUGCAGGGAUGACAGCAGGGCCUAUGAAGGGGUCUGGGUUUGAAGAGAGGUUGAGGUCUGCUGGGGAGAAAGUAGGGACCACUGGAGAGGACUUGAGAUCCAGUGGAUAUAAACUGGGGCAGAAUGAGGAGUUGAGGUCGAGUGUAGACAAGAUGACAUCAAGUGUAGAGAAGCUGAGGUCUAGUAGUGAGAAGCUGGUGUCCAGGGGAGAGACGCAAGGGUCCAGUGGAGUGAAGCUGAGGUCCAGUGGCAGAAAGCUGAGAUCAAGUGGAGAGAAUCUGAGAUCAAGUGGAGAGAAUCUGAGAUCAAGUAGAGAGAAGCUAAGAUGGAGUGGAGAGAAGCUGAGAUCAAGUGGAGAGAAGCUGGGAAUCAGUGAUGAGAAGCUGAAGUUGAGUGGAGAGAUGCUGAGAUCAAAUGGAGAGAAGCUAAGAUCAAGCAGAGAGAAGCUGAGGUUGAGUGGAGAGAAGCUGGGGUCAAGUGCAGAGAAGCUGAGAUCUAGCGAGGAGAAGUUGGGGACCAGUGGGGAGAAAUUGGAGGUUUCAAGAAUGGGGAGCAUAAAUGAGGAGAACAUUGAAAAAGUGGUAGAAGUUACUGGUGAUGAAAGAGUGAUGGCAUUUACUCAUGAUGAGAUGGAAAUUCCUUUUGAAAGUGUCAAAGGGAGUAAGGAACUGCAGGGGACUGAGAAAGGAGUGGGAGUUGAUGGGGGCGUCUUGCGUGAAGCGAAAGAUAUCACUGAUGAAUCUGUUUCUAUGGAAAAGAAAGAUAUUAUAGGUGAAGGUACCCGUGAAUGAGGCAGAUGAAGGACUGACACCAAACAAGGAAAGAGGCAGACAAGGGAAGUACUGGAAGUCAGAGGAGAAAUUAGAGCCAGGCAAAACAUUAUUGACACGGAAGGGGUAAAGUUGAGAGAGGAAAGGAGAGAGUCUGAGCCUAAAAUAAAAGAGAGUGGAAGUGAGGAAGAAAAGCUACUGGGGCUGAAGGCGGAGGCCAGGAUCAAAGGAAGCAAAGAGGAGUGGCUGGUUCAGAGGAGGGUGGGAACAUAUGGAGAAGAAAGAGAAGACUUGGUAAUGUGUUGACAGAGGAAACUUGGGUAUUGGGAGAAAACCUGACUGGGAGCUCAUAGGGAAAUGUUUGAGAAAAGGAUGGAGGAUGGGCUAGAAGGAUUUUGUCUGACACAUGAUGGGGUGUAUGAGAUGGAGGAUAAUUGCAGCAGGAUAAAGGGUAGAUUUUGAGGGUUGUGGAAGAAGGUGCAGGCUGAAGUGUGCAAAAUUUCUGAAAGAGGAGCCUGAAGAAUGAAGGGGUCCCAAGUGACAAAAGCAGGAGAGGAGACAAGAAAGAAGUGAGAAAAAACAUAAGAAGCCACAUGCCAUAAUGGUGAUUGUGUUUGUUGAUCUCUGCCAUCCUGAGAUUAUCACUCCUCGCCUCCUCUGGAAACUCUCUGAGAGCCGGGAAAUCGUCUCUUUUUAUAAGAGGCCUGCACAGGCACAAGGUCAUACUUGGGCAGUUUUUGGCUUUGUGAAAAUCUCUCAGAUUGCACCGCACAGUAUACAAAUGAUAAACCAGACAACCACAUUCGUUCUUUGGAUUGCGUUUUCUCCUGAGAUAUCAGACGCAUUUCACCAGGGCCACAGAAAGAGAAAUGAAGACCAAGAUACCGAGACAAAUGCCAACAACCUGGUGACAGGGAAGAUGAUGCCAUCAGAUCUGUACUUCACAUAGAGAAGUCUGGCUCAGAGAUGGAGUCACCAGGCCAUGGUGUGCGGGCACUCAGUAAAGUGGAGAUACGAUUACUAGAUCAUUAUGGUUUGACUGCCCUUGUCUAGAAAGUGACAGUGACAGUAACAGUGCCAGCCUCUCAGGGUCGCUGGAAGAUUAAAUGAGAUGCCAUGUGCAGUAUGCCAGACAGAUGGCAGGUAGGUGCCCACCCAGGUGGAGACAAACAGGAACCCUACCCUCCUCUGCCUGUCAGUACUGGAUGGUGUGAGCGAGGUCCCCCAGCCACACCACAGCAGGAGACAGCAGGGUGCCCGCCCAGAACAGUGGGGGCAGUGCUUCCUGUUGCAGCCCCCACCCAGCCAGGCACAGGCCCAGUGUCCCUGUGGGACUCCAUCCAGGACUUGUUGAAAUGGCCGAUGAUACAAAGGAGCCCCGACUUCACCCAUGGCCAGCUUCCCUCGCCAUCCUCCCUGCGGCCAAAGGACUUGCCCUCACCUGUUCUUUCCAGGACAAAUCAUCUGCCAGGUUUCUGCCUCAGGACACCCAAGCUCAGCACAGACCGCCUAGCAGCCUGGGUGACAGGAUCCCGGGGGACAGGAUUCUCUCCUUGCCAGAGGGAUGAGGACAAAUUCUCCCUUCAUCCUUGAGAUUGGACUCCCGUCACAUAUCCUGGAGGAGCCUACAGAGAAGCCGGCAGGUCUCCCUCACCUGGACGGUGGCAGCCGGUGGCCCAGACCACCCAGAGGCCCUCCCCUGCACCUGAUGGGACAGACCCUGGGGCAUAAGUCUCCCCUGCCACUUCCACUGUGGUCACUAGAACUGUGGUGGAGAAAAUCGCUAGGACACAAAGAAGUCAAUGAUUUCAACAAACGGAAUUUCUUUGUCCUUUGUAAAAGUCAACACAUGAUCUGUUACUGAUUGGGAUGUGAAAUAAAACUAAAAAUAACAGCACACUGAGCCUGGCUCAGAGCUCAGCUCACCUUUA